AGAGAGAGACAUGCGCGCAUAUCAAUAAGCGGAGGAAAAGAAACUAACUAGGAUUCCCUCAGUAACGGCGAGUGAAGCGGGAAGAGCUCAUAUUUGAAAUCUUCAAGGUUCUACCUUGACGAAUUGUAGUUUAAAGAAGUGUUUUCUGUUGAAGUUUUGGUAAAAGUUCUUUGGAAUAGGACAUCAUAGAGGGUGAGAAUCCCGUAUUUGACCAUUAUUUUCCAGCUUUGUGAUACACUUUCAAAGAGUCGGAUUGUUUGGGAAUGCAGUCCAAAAUGGGUGGUAAAUUUCAUCUAAAGCUAAAUAUUGGCGAGAGACCGAUAGCGAACAAGUACCGUGAGGAAAAGAUGAAAAGAACUUUGAAAAGAGAGUUAAACAGUACGUGAAAUUGUCAAAGGGAAGCGUUUGACACCAGUGUUGUUUUCUCGAAAAUCAAUUAAAAAAGGCAGGAUUUUGUGUCGUAUUGACUUUAUCAGCUUUCUGCACUCUUUUCUUGUCUUUUUUAAUGCACUUUUCGUUUAACAAGUCAACAUCAAUUUCUUUUGUUGUAAAAGGGUCAUUGGAAGGUGGCUUUCUUUUCGGAGAAAGUGUUUAUAGCCUUUGGCCUCUGCAAUCGGAGAGAUUGAGGUCUGCAGCGUAGAAUCCUUCGGGGUUAGAUACAUUUGUGCUAAGUUAUAGCCUUUUCAUAGACAACUUGUUGACUAUAAUCAGUCAUGUAGCUUACUCGCUUAUGCUAUUUUACCUACGCUUAGGAUGUUGAAGAUGUAGCACAUCAU
rnacentral:rRNA from 1 species